CCUACGGGAGGCAGCAGUGGGGAAUAUUGCACAAUGGGCGAAAGCCUGAUGCAGCAACGCCGCGUGAGGGAAGACGGUUUUCGGAUUGUAAACCUCUGUCUUUGGUGAAGAAGAAAGUGACGGUAGCCAAGGAGGAAGCCACGGCUAACUACGUGCCAGCAGCCGCGGUAAUACGUAGGUGGCAAGCGUUGUCCGGAAUUACUGGGUGUAAAGGGAGCGCAGGCGGGACUGCAAGUUGGAUGUGAAAUACCGCAGCUUAACUGCGGAGCUGCAUCCAAAACUGUAGUUCUUGAGUGGAGUAGAGGUAGGCGGAAUUCCGAGUGUAGCGGUGAAAUGCGUAGAUAUUCGGAGGAACACCAGUGGCGAAGGCGGCCUACUGGGCUCUUACUGACGCUGAGGCUCGAAAGUGUGGGGAGCAAACAGGAUUAGAUACCCUGGUAGUCCACACUGUAAACGAUGAUUGCUAGGUGUGGGGGGUCUGACCCCUUCCGUGCCGGAGUUAACGCAAUAAGCAAUCCACCUGGGGAGUACGGCCGCAAGG
rnacentral:rRNA from 1 species